CGAAAACAUAAACAGUGGAAAGCGAAAGUGAGCGUCAGUUUUUGUUGCUGUCAACUCUGCGCCUACCCAGCUUCGUCGCCGCACUGCCCGUAGUAGAGGUCCGUGCGCGCUUUGCGGAGUACUUUCUUUAUAUAACAAGCAGAUCGUAACAGAACGAACUGAAUGCAAUGAGGCGAAUAAUUUCGGUAACUGUCGCCGCGCUGUGCGCCCUGCUGGCGCUCAGUUCCGCGGCUCUCGUCGGAGCUCCGAUGAAGCACGACCCGAAGGACUUUGAAAACUAUCUCGACGAGGCUCACUUUGUGGCGGCGUCGCAGGUGGAUGGCCGUGAAUUCUACGACACCGUCGUCGAAAUCCUCGAAGCCGAAACUCAGGUUGUCUCUGGACUCAUAAUCAGGCUCAAGAUGAAGAUGACGGAAUCGGUCUGUAAAGUGUCGAAAGGAAACUACACCAGGGAGCUCUGCUCUCCCAAGAAAGGGAAGCCAGUGAAGAUCUGUGAAGCUGAAAUCUACAGCAGAGCAUGGGAGAACUAUCGGAACGUCAACUCAUUCACAUGCGAAGCGGCUAUGUCGAUCGUCACACGGAUAUCGGGUGUUCUAGAUCCCAAGGACCUAACUUUCGCCUACCUGUCGAAACACCUGAAGCUUUCACAAGAAAGGUCCCUCUUCAGCGUCUUCGCCCGCACGUACAACAAAACGUACAAGGACAAAGAAGAGCAUGAAGCUCGGUUCAUGAUCUUCAAGAACAACUUGAAGAGAAUUGCGCUUUUCAACAGACUCGAAGAGGGAACUGCACAUUACGGCCUCACGGAGUUCUCUGACUUGUCACCGAGCGAGUUUGAGCGCCACUACCUUGGCUUGAAAAAGGAUCUUGCCGAGCACAAAGCAGAGGUCAAGCCAAUCAAAGUUGGACCUGUGAACGAACCACUGCCGGAUCUCUUCGACUGGAGAACCAAGGGAGCUGUGACGGAAGUGAAGAACCAGGGCGCAUGUGGCUCCUGCUGGGCUUUCUCGGUGACUGGAAACGUGGAAGGCCAGUGGUUCCUGUCACGCAACAAACUGCUCUCACUGUCGGAACAGGAGCUUGUUGACUGUGAUCAUGGAGACAGUGGAUGCAAAGGUGGUUACAUGGGUCAAGCCAUGAAGGCCAUUAUUGAAAUGGGAGGCCUGGAGACUGAGUCUGAAUACCCUUACCGAGGUGUAGACGGUACAUGCGAGUUCAACAAGACGGAGACCAAGGCCCGCGUGCAGAGUUUUGUGGGCUUGCCCCAGAAUGAAACCGAGCUUGCCUACUGGCUUAUGAAGCACGGACCCAUUUCUAUUGGAAUCAAUGCCAAUGCAAUGCAGUUCUACUUUGGUGGUAUAUCGCACCCAUGGAAGUUUCUCUGCAGUCCUACAGACCUUGAUCACGGAGUUCUUCUCGUUGGAUUUGGCGUGGACAAACGAAGUUUCCGCCGCAAGCCUGUACCAUACUGGAUCGUGAAGAACAGCUGGGGCAAGUACUGGGGAGAGAAGGGCUACUACAGAGUUUACCGUGGUGAUGGUACCUGUGGUGUCAACCAGAUGGCGUUGUCUGCCGUAGUCCCACCGAAACACUAGUCGACUUAAUCUGUUUUUAGCCUGCUCUCUUAUCUAACAACUUUUUUUACAGGAAGGAAUGCGUGCACAUUCUUCUUUUAAGAUACGGAGAUUGAUUCGCUCGAUAAUGCUUAGUGUUGAUGCUGGCCUUGCACGAUGCCCUAAGCAAUGGGCAGCUUGUUUUAUUUUUUUUGUGCUUGUCAGAGCUUGUAACAGUCCUUAACAUGGAGCUUUGUGAUGUUUGUUCAAGUUCACACUGUUAGCUCAGGUUUUCUCAUAGCUAUUGUACCUUAAUACUCCUUUUCCGACUAUGUUCACACACAGACAAUUCUCUUAGUGCAUGGAGAAAGAAUAGACAGGAGUGGGAGCUGCAUAUAGACUCUAUUGCGAAAGCGUUGGACUGCCGUCACCUUGGGCUGUUGACACUGGAGCUUUCUGAUUGCAACAGCUAAUGCAUGGUACCAGGGUCAAUUUGUAUGCUUGAAGAUGGUCCUACACGUUCAUUUGGUGAUUAACAUACAUGUUAA
rnacentral:misc_RNA from 1 species